rnacentral:rRNA from 1 species
GAGUUUGAACCUGGCUCAGGAUGAACGCUGGCGGCGUGCCUAACACAUGCAAGUCGAACGAAGACUGUGUGACGGAACUCUCCGGAGGGAAGACGCGCAGGACUGAGUGGCGGACGGGUGAGUAACGCGUGGGUAACCUGCCCUGUACAGGGGGACAACAGCUGGAAACGGCUGCUAAUACCGCAUAAGCCUACAGUACCGCAUGGUACAGCAGGAAAAACUCCGGUGGUACAGGAUGGGCCCGCGUCUGAUUAGUUAGUUGGCAGGGUAACGGCCUACCAAGACAACGAUCAGUAGCCGGCUUGAGAGAGUGAACGGCCACAUUGGGACUGAGACACGGCCCAAACUCCUACGGGAGGCAGCAGUGGGGAAUAUUGCACAAUGGGGGGAACCCUGAUGCAGCAACGCCGCGUGAGUGAAGAAGUAUUUCGGUAUGUAAAGCUCUAUCAGCAGGGAAGAAAAUGACGGUACCUGACUAAG